GCCCGGAUGGCGAAAUUGGUAGACGCAAGGGACUUAAAAUCCCUCGGAGGUUGACUCCGUGCCGGUUCGAGCCCGGCUCCGGGCA
rnacentral:tRNA from 1 species